CAAACCUCUCUGAAAGACCGCAGGCACUGUCCCUGGUCUGAGGGUGAGUCUCUCGCCCCCUCUCCCGCCCUGUCAGACUUGAGAGGCCAUGAACCAGGCCUGAGGGGAGAGGCAGCCCGGCCAGCCCCGUCUCACUGGUGCGGGCUCUGGCUCCAGAAAGACUGUGGAAGGGGAGGCCCCUGGGCGCCCCGGCACUAUGUCUGACUAGGUAAACUCUGUUCACCGGACACCUUUCAAUGCCCAUCUGUUCUGACUUCUCAGCAGCCUUUGGAAACUCUCCCUCCCCUGGGUUUUCGUCACAGCAGAAAUCUCCUGUUUGGAUCUCUCCCGAGAGCUUCAGUCCCAUGUAGCCAAUCGCCUACUGGAUACCACCAUCUUGAUCUCCCACAGGUCCCUCAGAGUCAAGAUCUUCAAAACAGAGUUCAUCUUCUUCCCCAAACCUGCUGCUUCCCAAUUACUCUUAGAGAAGAGCACCACCAUUCUGCCAACACCAACUUGGAGACCUGGCAGUCAUCCUGGACUCCAUUUUCUCCCUUCCCAUGACAUCAAAACAAUCACACCAACUCUACCUUCUUACCAACUCUCAAAACUGUUCUCUUCCUCCACGCAGGUUGCCUGAGUUCAGGGCCCCAUCACCCCUUACCCAGCCUAUCGCUCCUCGUCUGUGGGUUCCUUACUGGUCUCCUUGUCUAUCACUUAUCCCUCUUUAGUUUAUCUUCCACAGUGGCUGCCAGAGUAAAAAUAAAUUUCAUCAUACCAUUCCCAGUCUUCUUCAGCUUAAAGUCAAAACUCCCUUGAUGCAACUGCUCUGGAGAACUGUGGGGCAGUAUCUACUAAAGCAAAAUGUGCCUACCCACUUCUAGGUAUUUACCCAAGAGAAAUGAGCGCAUAAGUGCACCAAAAGACAUGUACAAGAAUGUUCCUUAUAGCUGUAUUUACACUAGCACAAAAAUGGAAAUAACCAAAAUGUCCAUCAACUAGAGAAUACAUAAACAAAUUAUGAAGUAUUCAUUCAAUGGAAUACUAAGG
rnacentral:lncRNA from 1 species